UUAUUACUACAGGACAUCAACUAAAGCACUGCUCAAGAAAGCUGUUGCAGAGACAUGCUGUAUUCUAGCCAAUAUGUUAAUGAUUAUUUAAGAAUCUCAGGAGCAAUUGUAAAAUAAUUACCGUUCAUGUUUGAAGAGUUCACUGACAAGUAAAGUAAGUCUAUAAGAUAUGGACAUUGAUCAUUUAUUUCCAUUGAAUAAAUAUUGAAAUACACUUCAACAAAGUCACUCCCUGUUUUCUGGUAUUUUAAAUUAAGCAGAUUUCUCUGUCUGAAUAAAUACUUGGACAAGAAAAAUAAAUAGACAAGACAUUAGUUUGUCCUGAUAUAUUUUCAAAACACAAUAUAAUACCAUAGCACAAAGAAAUCAUCAUAAUAAAACAUCAGUCUAUAUGAAUGUUAGAAUAAAAGCAUGUCUAAAGAAAUCCACUUUAUAUAUCUAUCUAUCUAUCUAUAUAUAUAUAUAUAUAUAUAUAUAUCUAUAUCUUUGUAUACAUCUGUAUAGCUUGUAUUAAAACAUCAUUCAAAUAUUUCACAAGGGGAAAUAGGUGGAUCUAUUGCUUCAAAUAAGAAACGACAAAUAAUUGCCAGUUGGUUAAUAAAAAAAUAAAUCUAAGCUUUAAAAAUAAAUGUAAAAGAAAAAUCAAUAAGAGAUCUACUAGGCUCUAUAAUUUAAAUCAAACAUAAUUAAUACUUAUUGCAUUAUACAAAUGGGGAAAUGAUAUUUCCCUUGAGCUGCAGACACACAAAUCCUAUACUAUUUUGUGAUGAUCAUCCAAACAAACCUAAUGGUAAAUCUAUAUUCCAGUUGGCUCUUAGAAAAUAUGGCUGAAUGUUUAAAUUACAAAUAAAACACACAAGAAAAACAUGAAAAGACUUGAAAAGGUGAGUCCAAUGUAUAAAACAACAACUACUGUUUUUCAUUUCUAUU